GACUGUCUGCUAAUGUAAUCUAUACUGAUAACAGUGAUAUGUGCACCAUUGAGGACUGGAUUGGUUAGCUCUGAAAUGUCGUUGUCUAAAUAGUCAAUGCAAAGCAAAAUAAAACUUCUCACCAGUUAUCACAUCAUUAAUAGGCCAUGAAGUCAAAUAUAACACAAGUCACUGUUCUAGCCUUAGCCUACACACUACAUUCUAAAUUCAUCUCUGCGAAUGACAGCCUAGAAUAAUGUAUCCAUUGUCAUUUCUGUAACGUUUAAGAGCGGCUUGUGGCAUCAGUCCACUAUUUGGUGGGAACACUGCUCUUCUGUGUGAAGUUCAUAGUCUUUGUUGAAAUUAUUUUAGCUGCUCUCAUUAAUUUCGAUGCUAGUCUAUCAAUAGACAUUGACAUAGACGUUGAGGGUUGGGCUCGCUUGUUUAGAGCGCACAAGAAUGCUCCCAACCUUGAAAAAAAAGAAAAAAGUUUCACAGAAGAAAAAAACGACUCGCUCUUCGUUGCGAGGGCAAACGCAAGCCCAACCUACCGCCAUAGUAGAAUUACCUGAAUUCUCCUCACGUGACCGAUCCCCAGCCGGUCGACCAAUGAGAAGAGAGGACAGGUGCACUCAUUGUAGUUUCGGAGGUGGAAUCCCGGGUACUCUUGUAAACUGCGACGGCACUAUAAAGUCUUUCACAGACAUAGAUAUCCACUCAACCGAGUUAUGCGCAAAACUGCGUCUCAUUGAUUGACAUCUUCGGAUACGUGGGAGUGAAAGAUGGUUUUCACACACCGUGAUUUCUUCUGAAGAAGAUUCAGCGUCUCUUCUCUGUUGUCUCAACACACCUUUCAUUUAGAGGAACGUCGGGCUGCGUUUAUCUUCUUCUCGUCAUUUUUAUCCAGUUUUAACAAUGACGGAGAAAACAGCUCCCUGGUGGAGAUCUUUCGUGGGCAAGAGGAGAAAAGCAGCCAGAGAAUCGGCAGCGACCCUUGAGCAGGACCUCCGUAAUCAGCCAUCUGCAGAAUCCAAGCAGCAACCCUCUGCUGAGCCGGACCAACGACUCACCUCACAGACCCGUCCAGUGAUACAAGCAGGCAACAACCUACCUAGCGACGAAACAUACGACGACUCCGCUGUUCAACCCACUUUCAACGAGCUCAACAAUCGCCGUUUUCUCACUGUAUCGCGCUCCGGCCGCUUCAAAGAGAAAAAGAAGUCGCGAGCGAGUUUUCCACAGAACCACGAAGACGAAGGGAAACCUGUCGCCGCCAAACCAACCGAAGUUCAGUCAAAGCGUUGAUUGCAGCCGCAGUUUACAUCCGUUGGUAGAGCCAUAAGGCACUACCUUCAUACUGACAAUGUUGAUUAACUUGACUCAUAAAUGCACUUACUGAUAUUGUGGUGAUAGACUGUUGGACUAAUUUAUUAUUGGAGCUUUUCUCCAAAUGCUGGAAAAAUGGCUUUUCCUUGAGGAUAAAACGGCUCUUAGCCAAGCAGGUUUAAAUGGGUUUACAGGCACUUUACAACUUGAGAUCAGCUAGGUCAGCGUAAACCUGGUAAGACCAGCAAACUAUAAGCUGUUUUUUUUUCUCCACCAGGGAAAAUACAUUCAAUAGAAUAAUAUUUGUGAAGGAUACAACACAUUAUUUUUAGACAUUUGUUAUAGCUAGGCCUACAACAUUUGCACUGUAUUAUGGUGUUACUGCAACAUUUUAUGAAGGACUAUAUACGAAGGAUUGAGCAGAAACUAUUUUAAAGAUAAUCAGUGUAAGGUCUAUCAUGGCUGUUUUGAAUGGUUGUGCAUGCAUGUCACUUUUUUGAGCGGGUUUGGGUGGUGGUCCUAUCCGUCCAGAAUUAAAUGUUUUUACUUUAAAUGUCAA